GUAGGCAUAGUUUAAUUAAAACAUUAGAUUGUGAUUCUAAAAAUAAAGGUUAAAAUCCUUUUGUCCACC
rnacentral:tRNA from 1 species